rnacentral:lncRNA from 1 species
UGCCAUGGUGACUCAGAGUUGAGGCCAAUGGCGGCUCCACCAUCCUGUGGCUAUGAUUCCUGAACUUGUGGUCUCCUCAGUUGAUGAGGUGAAGAAAGAAAGCCUGGAGAAUUAUGCACGAGCUUCUCACUGUCUCAGCCCACAAGUAACACACCUCUUUCCCUCACAGCCCACACUGGCUGGAACCAAUCACAUAGCCCUGCCUAACUGCAAGGGAGGCCAGAAAGUGCAACACUUUCUCAUGGUCACGGGUGAGCACGAAACAUCUCUCCAAAUAUGGGUUGGGAAGAUUAAGAGACUAGUCCAGAAGAAAACAGUCUCCAGGGAGAAAUAUAUCUGGGAAUAGGAAUCGAGAAAGCAACCAAGAGAGCAGAACUGAGUGGAUGAGAGGAACUGUCAGACCACAUCUGCAGCUCUGAUUAGUCAAAUCCGAAAUGUGCCUGUUGAUCUACUAUUCCGUGGAAAUACUGGAAUCACCAGCUCAAUAAUAAGAGGAAACACUGUGACAAGGCUACGAGGUCACAAAGGGAAGAACAAGGAACUCUGGCUGGCGGUGAGAGUUUUCAGUGAAGUAACAAUAUCUGACUAGGGUUUUGAAGAAUGAGCAGAAGCUCUGCGUCAGAUGAAGAAGAGACAGGAGGCCCUCCAAGCAAAGGAACCACUCAUGUCAAGACAUGGGGCAAAAAGAGAGGAUGUAUUUGGAGAACAGAGAGUAACCGAAGGCUAUCAUUCAAUCAGUGAUAGUCUUCAUGGAGGUUAAUAUCAAAGGCAACCUGAAUUUCCUCAGACUUCAUGAGCUGGCGGUGAAGGGUGAGAUCACACAAGCAGUAAUAACCCAGCUCUCCCUGGCUCACUGCCUUACUUACUGGCCUUCUGGUACUCAGCAAAGCUGUCCCCAUGAGUUUGGGAGUCUCCAUUCCUGUCCUUCCACUCCCCUCAAACGUCUUUCAUUCAAGGUCACGUGGUAACUUGACUCCUCUCACCACUACUUCUGUGGGAAUGCAGAGGCCAGGCCAGAGCCUGUGGGUGCUGCCCUCCCCAGAGACUUCACUAUGCCCAGCUCCAGGGAGGACUGACUGGAGGAGGGGACCAGGCAUCUCCCCUGCACUCUGGGCCCACAGCAACCCUGUAUACCAGCCCGUAUUAACCUUGCAACGCCUUCCUCCAAAAGGCUGAGACUUCAACCACAGGACCUGGGUGGUGAUCACCACAAAAUUUCUUCCUGAACGUUCUUCUCCAACAACUUCUCACAUUCAGUUAUUCAUUCAACAAACAUUGAGCAACAACCUAAUCUUCUGGGCUCUGGAGACCGAGUUAAAAAGGAGACAGCAGGCCCCUGCCCCCGCUUCCCGACAGGUCACCACAUCUUGAGUGCUAAGACUGUCAUCACAGGGUGAGGAGGGGAAAUGAGCUCAGAGGGGCAGAACCUUCUGAAAGGGCAGAAUGGUUCAAGCAUCCCGCCAAGGUCAGAAGGCGCUGGAUCCAGGGCAAAAAUGAAGACAUAAGGGACCUUAGGUGACAAGGAAGAAGCUCCCAGGCAGCAUGUGGGAUGGACCCAAGGAGAACGUCAGAGAGAAAGAGUUCAGUCUGGUGUCUCCUGAAGCAGGUUAAAAUUAAGCUCGGCAGGCUCGACGUAAAUGUGCAGACAAAGCAAAGCAGGAAGCCUCCCACACUAAAAAGGGAAGAUAAGAAUCACAGAAGCUGGGAUGGUUUUUAUUGAAGGGCAUUUCAAAGCAAAUACAGACAUCUACAGCAUAUUUGUAAAUCCUCCGUAUGUGUAUGGAAACACACACCUUCACACAUCAAAACUGGAUUUGUUCCUGAGUAACAAAACGUCCUAAGAACAAAAUGAAAGAAAACCAAAUAGCAGAAAAAUACUUCCAAUGUAUAUACCACAAAGGAUUAUUUAUCAACUCAACACACCAAGAGUUAAGAAAAUAAUGCAACAGGAACAAAGGGCAAAGGAUAUGUACUGGGAAGACCACAGAGAAAGAAAAUGCAAAUGGCUAAUAAUAUAAAAUAUUUCCUAGGUUCAAUAGUAAUCAGGGAAAGACAAAAUUACACUUUUGACCUCUUAGACUGGCAGUGACAAAGAUUAUUUGAGUGACCAAGCUUUAGUCAGGCUCCUGGAUCUUCUAGGCCCAUCUGGGCACUUCCUCGUAAAAUACAGUUUUAACAAAAGCCCUGCUAAAUUGGUUUACCGAGAACUCCCACCCUCAAUCGAGUUCCUUAGCCCUUCACCUUUCCUCAGGUGAGGGCUGAUCAUCCUGUCCUGUCUUCAGCAAGACUGCUCUAACGCUGACGUUUCCUUUUAGUAAUUUUCCAUCCACUGACACCCACUUGUAAUUUAUAGCCAAGGAGCAAGAUACACUGCUCCUUGGCUAUAAGUUAUUUUCCCUGUUACAUUCAGAGUUGAGCCCAAUCCCACUCCCCGACUACAAAAUCGAUAGCAGUGGUCCCUAUACCUAUUGCAAUGGUCCUAAAUAAAACCUGCCUUACCGUGCUUGAA